AGAAAUAUGUCUGAUAAAAGAAUCACUUUGAUAGAGUGAAAAAUAGAGGUUUAAGCCCUCUUAUUUCUA
rnacentral:tRNA from 1 species